AGCUGUAUGUCGAAAGAUAGCAAGUCUGAAUAGUAAAGUGGAUGUCCAAUCAAUCUCAUCGUUCUUAUCUCGAAAUCUAAAAUCGCUUAAAUAAGCAUAAGCUUCCAUACAUUUCUGGGUUAAUAUAGUUUAUUGUUCAGUGGCGAAGUUUUUCUAACUUGCUCUACAAUUACAUCUCCUGUUAACUCCUUUAGAUAAACUGCUUCAUUAUCGUUGUUUAAUGCUAUGACGAAUAUAAAUACCCAAGAGGAACGAGAUAGAGAAAAACCCAGUCAUUGCAUCGUCAACGUAUUAAUUUGGAUGCAACCGCAAAGCAACAGAUGCAGUAAAUACAAAGUUCUGGCAUUUAAAUUGGCUUUAUUUCCAAAGUAAAACUUCGUAAACUGACCUUUUCUUUCUGAGUUACAAGCAUAGAUUGAUUUAAGGCUUCGGUCAAUUCAAUCAAUGCAAUGAAUUUGUACUAAAGUGGUAAA